CUCGAGUACUGCUCGAUAUAAAAUUUGUGAUAUUUUCUAUUUGUUUGCUGAUGACUUUUUGUUACGGACGGCCUCGGUUGAGAGACUGGUGCUGUCUUUAUCCGUUUCACUUUAUAGUCGUUAGAAGACGGCAUAUUUCGAUAAUCGUCACAAUGUCUCAAAUCAGGGAUAAAACGGUUAAACCAAUGAGAAGAUUAAGGUCGCGUGCGAUGUUGCUUUGAAAAAGAGCGCUGAAACGUGUAAGUGGCGCCGCCAGCGCGCCAAGCGGACAGCACCGGACCGAGCGGUUCCCGCCGAAACAGGCGCGGUUAUGGCGCGAAGGCUCGUGAUUGGUCGACGGCGCGGCAGUGGCGGCGCGCAAGGCCGCCGGUUUUCCCGCGAACAAUGCCAAAUGGUGCAUUUGUCAAGGUGAGUUCGUUCACCGGCGUCGCGGGCGCCGCUCGCUCGCUCACGCCGGCCGAAGGUCGUCGGAAGGCAGCGCGCGUUUGGUGUGCUCGCCUCGCCUCGCCUGCGCCGCGCCGCCCGCGCAUCGAGACACCUAUUGCUAAAUACACAUCUGCAAUACAGGUGAAAUAAUUGCUUUAUUUUAUCCUUUUAAUAAAUGUAAAUAAUUAAAUGAAAAUAAAUAGUUUGAUCCCUAGUGAAAGUUUGCUUUCUGCGAUAUUGAUAUUUUAAUAUAACUUGUUUGCGUAAUGUUAACAUGGUGAGUAAAAUGUUUUAAUUUGGCGUACAUUUAUAAUUUACUGUAUUUAAUAUUAUCAUCGUGUAUUGGCUAUAAUUGCAAUUAUAAAACGUACAUCACAUGGAUAAAAAAUCAAGAGUCAAGACUAAACAGAAGAACAUGAACAAAGAAGAAAGAAAAAGUAUCAAGUGCUACGCCCGGACGAACUUCCCAGUUCGGCCGACAUUCACGGGUCGGUGGGAUCUUCGUCCGUUUGUAUCGCUUAUACGUUUUAUCAACGACAUGUCGAAACAUGAACGAGUCAGCCGAGGAAGAAAGAAAAAGGAAUGCUCUAUUCCACGAGAAGAACAUUUUGCUAUGAGUACCGCGAAAGAAUCAAUAAACUGGCAGAACACUUUAAAUACCUUUGCCCGCUAACAGGUAGAGAAGUGUUGCGAAUUUGUUGAGCGCGGGAAAAUAGUGGCGCGACGGGGGCGGAGGACGCUUGCAAACAUUAGCACAGACCACGUUGCUCAUCACGUUUUCCUUCUAACUUUUUUGUUUUUGUUGUAAUGAAACAAACCGACAGCAACAUUUGACGUAAAACAAUAAAAAAAAUAUUUAUUUAACGCACUGAUCUAUAUGUUUAAGGUAGCUUUUUUUUAAAUCUAAAAAUACUGUCGUUUAUGUACAUGUAAAUCUUAUUUUAAACUAAAACAGCAUUAAUUCUAAUAGUUCAAUUUGCCAGACUAAAGUGUGCUUUCAUUUUUUUUUCUUUUUAUUGGUUAUGGUUUAAGAAUUUGUCAUCUUCUGAUGGCUUCCAAAAUUUUCAAGCAUGGACGAGCCAAAAUUUAAAUCGUAAAUGACCAAGAAAAUUCAGAAUAAAAAUUUUAUAUUUGCAUUGUUUGUCUCAUUACGCUUUUAUAUUCUGUAUUUUAAUGUACGCAAUAUCUAUGCAAUGGGUAAAAUUGAUCCUUGCGUGAUAUACGAUACUUAAAACUGAUUCUAUAUCAGGCACAAAAAACUGUGCCGAAUGACUUAAUGCUAAUGUUUUUAUGAUACGCUAUCGCUGGUUGCAGAAUCCCGAGAAUCGUAAAUGCAUCAUCGAUUUACAUCAAAUAUAUUUAUAAUAAUUUUUCCACGUUCGUUUAUUAUCUUAUAUGGCCAGCCUAAUUUGUCAAUGUGAAAUUGUAAAUUAUGUCAUUUUAGUUUGUUUUCUCUUGCAGAUAUUUGUACAAAACAUAUUUACUAAUUUAAAACUAGAUCUCUUAUAAUAAAGUAAGUUUCAAAAAUAAUUAGACCUACACCUUUCUACACUAACCGCUGAAUGUUUUUUAUAAGUAGACGUUAAAUAAAACUCAAAAAUUUAACACAUUCCUAAAAGGAAAUAUUAACUCAUCUUUUGAUAUUGUAUUUUUUGGAAUAUCACAGCGAAAUUAAGGCCUUAAAUUCGAUGAUUUCGAAAGUCGUAUACCAUUCAUCACCGUUAACACAUGAUCGCAUUCUGAUGAUUCAUCGUGCAUCGAAACUUGCGAGAGUUCCAGAACGACCGCGUCGUGUCAAUCGGAUCCACUCUAAACAGGCUCAUUUUGACAGCUGUCAACCUACAUUAAAAGGGCUCGUUGGAGUUUUGGCUAAUUUUUUCAUACUUUGCAAAUAUUUGAUUAAGUGAAUUUGAUUAUUUUUCUUUGGUAACUUAAUUUUAUUAAUCUUCGUAUUAUUAUAAUUACGAAAGUAUAUUUGGAUAUUUGGAUAUUGUAUAUUUGGAUGUUGACGUUUGUCUCUUCUUAUUCAGAGAGAAUGUGUGGAACGCCAAUAUUAUUUUAACGUCGAAAUGUUCACUAUUAGGGAAGAAAUGGGCUAAUGGUUUAUUUUUACUAAAUGUGUAUUGUUUCAAUUAACUAAUAACAUUUUUUAUUUACUAGUAAAAUUAGGCCUAUCAUAGUUUUAUGUUGGAAAAGAUAUUUAUAUAGAGUCUUAUUUCGUAUCGAACUAUUUCAUGAUCUAGAUAUCUUUAAUUAUAAAUUGAUUAUAUUAUUCGAAAAUAUAAUUUAGUUCUUGUAAUCACCACCAAGUAUUAGGCUGGAACUGGAGAAGAUAAAAAAAAACAAAUGACUUUUUUUAUUCUUGAUUAGUAAGUCUUUUGUGGAUCAAUAUUGUUACGAUU